rnacentral:rRNA from 1 species
AUGUGUGCCGGCGAGAGAACAUGGGUUGACGGCGGCGGAAAUGCAUGCGGUGCGGUCAGGACUCAGCAAGACGUUGGGUUAAACACUAACGACAGGAAGGAGAAGAUAAUGGCGAAGAAGAAACCCGGUGUGCAUUCGAGCCGAGGCCGGUGGGAGCCUGGUAAUGCUGCUGCGCAGGCGGCAAUGGCGCGCCACCGGGCCGCAUCAGGUGAGGACAACAGCUGGGCGUUUGUGAUCCAGCUCGAGGCCCAUUUGCCGGUCCGGCUCCGUGCUGCGGGCUGUGUGUUGCCACUGGUGCGGAUUACUUUGUCUGAAACCAAAGACACAGAUAACGCCCCAACGUUCGUUUUUUGA